rnacentral:rRNA from 1 species
UCCGUAGGGUGAACCUGCGGAAGGAUCGAUUACUGAGUGAGGGCCCUCUGGGUCCAACCUCCCACCCGUGUUUAUUGUACCUUGUUGCUUCGGUGCGCCCGCCUCACGGCCGCCGGGGGGCUUCUGCCCCCGGGUCCGCGCGCACCGGAGACACUAUUGAACUCUGUCUGAAGAUUGCAGUCUGAGCAUAAACUAAAUAAGUUAAAACUUUCAACAACGGAUCUCUUGGUUCCGGCAUCGAUGAAGAACGCAGCGAAAUGCGAUAACUAAUGUGAAUUGCAGAAUUCAGUGAAUCAUCGAGUCUUUGAACGCACAUUGCGCCCCCUGGUAUUCCGGGGGGCAUGCCUGUCCGAGCGUCAUUGCUGCCCUCAAGCACGGCUUGUGUGUUGGGCUCCGUCCCCCCGGGGACGGGUCCGAAAGGCAGCGGCGGCACCGAGUCCGGUCCUCGAGCGUAUGGGGCUUUGUCACCCGCUCUGUAGGCCCGGCCGGCGCCAGCCGACAACCAAUCAUCC